AAGAUUAUACUUUCAGGGAUCAUUUCUAUAGUUUUUGACUUGGAAAGGUGUUUCGAAAGUGUUGAGUCUUUCAAACCACGAUGAUGAGUGUCGUUACUCUUUUCUGAGCGUGAGUCGGGUGUGAAGUUAUGAGUCGUUUCAUGUGCUUUGCUUCAUUGAUGAACGUUCUUCAUUGUUUGUAACAGUGGAGAGGAAAAGAGUAAGAACAGAGUGGUU
ensembl:snoRNA